rnacentral:rRNA from 1 species
UACGAAGGGGCUAGCGUUGUUCGGAAUUACUGGGCGUAAAGCGCGCGUAGGCGGAUAUUUAAGUCAGGGGUGAAAUCCCAGGGCUCAACCCUGGAACUGCCUUUGAUACUGGAUAUCUGGAGUUCGGGAGAGGUGAGUGGAAUUCCGAGUGUAGAGGUGAAAUUCGUAGAUAUUCGGAAGGAACACCAGAAGCGAAGGCGGCUCACUGGCCCCGAU